rnacentral:lncRNA from 1 species
GUGGACUGCACCGGAGAAGGCGUCUUGUUCAUUGAGGCUGAUGCAGACACCACACUCGAGCAUCUGGGCGAUGCGAUUCAGCCGCAUUGUCCAUGUUUUGAGGAGCUUCUAUACGAUGUUCCCGGCUCCGGAGAGAUCCUUGGUUGCCCUUUGCUGUUAAUUCAGGUCAGCAAUCUUUAAUAAACAUGGAUAGAGAUUAAUUGUGAUAAUAUAGAUGGGGAAAAAGUUCCUAAAGUUAUACCGGAAAAAGUUGCAGACAAUAUAAAGAAAAAGUUUCUUACCUGUAUAUGUGUAUGCACUCCUUUUAGCCUUGAUGAGUUUUAAAACCGCGAGGACAUUUUGGUCAGAGGGAUUAAUCUUUAUCUUUGUUUUAACAUAUGUAGGUGACGCGUUUGAGGUGCGGAGGGUUUGUACUUGCACUGCGCCUAAA